rnacentral:lncRNA from 1 species
UCUGCAUGUGAGAUGGGUUUCCUGAGACGGAGUUUCGCUCUUGUUGCCCAGGCUGGAGUGCCCUAGAUCUGUGACACUGGAAGUGCUGUUUUCCUGGCUCAAUAUCCCUUAUUUGGCUAAGAAAAAAAGGGCAGUUUCCAACUCAUUUGUACUUACAUAGCCACAGACUCUUCUACUUGUAUGGCUUAUUAACAUCAAAAAUUUAUAUUCUAUUAUUAUAUGUGAUAUAUUACACUAUACUACAUUAUAAUUAUCCCCA